rnacentral:tRNA from 1 species
GGACUGUGGUUCAGUGGUAGAGCAUCUGAUUGGCAUGCAGAAUAUCCUAGGUUCAAUCCCCGGCAUCUCCA